ACUGGUACGGACAAGGGGAA
rnacentral:snRNA from 1 species